UACGUAGGGGGCGAGCGUUGUCCGGAUUCAUUGGGCGUAAAGCGCGCGUAGGCGGCCCCGCAAGUCGGCCGUGAAAUCUCCGGGCUCAACUCGGAGGGGUCGGGCGAGACUGCGGAGCUCGAGGUGGGCAGAGGGCAGUGGAAUUCCGGGUGUAGUGGUGGAAUGCGCAGAGAUCCGGAGGAACACCAGUGGCGAAGGCGGCUGCCUGGGCCUGGCCUGACGCUGAGGCGCGAAAGCGUGGGGAGCGAUCCGG
rnacentral:rRNA from 1 species